GUGGGCGGCCAUACCACCUUGAUCACGGAAGCUAAGCAGGGUUGGGUCUGGCCAGUACUUAAAGGAGAGACCACCUGGGAACGCGGGUGGUGUAGGCU
rnacentral:rRNA from 1 species